rnacentral:misc_RNA from 1 species
AAAGACUUAGUUGAGUUGAGUUGAUCUAGAAUAACUUUGUUUAUGUAAUUAUGAAUAUUUCUUUGAAAGGUUGGGUCUUUGGCUCAUCAAUGGCAAACUUUUCUAAUUAUCACUUCUUUUGUUAUUGUCAAAUGCAAUAUAAUCUUUUAAUCCUUUAAAUGUGUUGAUUUAUUUCUUGUCAGUGUUGUACACAAUUUUGAUGUCUUUCUCUAAAGUGCUCUGGGUUUAUAUAAAUUGAUAUUUGCGUGCUUAAUUUUGUCCACAUACCAUUAAAAUAUAGCAGUAUAUCCACAUUAAGAAUGUCUUUUGCUUCCACAUAUGGAGUUGAUUUUAUGUUUCUUUAAAAGAUACUUUUAUUAAAGAGAAAUUUCCCCCUUUAUCUAGCAUUUUAAUUUAAGUGCUAGAACUUCGGCCUUCCCUUUACCAAAUUUCUGGUUCCACCACUGGCUAUAUGGUUAAAAUAUAUUUCUGAUACUGCCAUACUUGUGAAGUCUUUCUAGUUUGUGUGUUUUUUAUGUUUGGAACCUUAAAUUUCAACCUCUAAGCCUUCUUCAAAAUUUUAGUUUGAGGGUCCUGCAUGCCAUUUACCUAUAUGUCCUUGAAGGAUUUGAAAUUAUUUUGUUUAUACUUUGCACAUUUCUCCUUGCAAUCAAUAUCUGAAGGAUGAUGAGUUUUGUGUUCAUAUUGAAUA